AUGUGUAGAGAUCCAAUAAGAAACCUGGCAAUCUUGAUUUAGGGGAAAAAAGUUGGCACGCCAACUUUCAAUUUGCCCAAUAACUAAAAGAGCAAAACUGAAAUAUUUUUCUAUAAAUACGAGCCAAACUUUCAAAACUCCAUUAAGAAAAUUCUCUCUCUAAGUUGAUGUUCUCUCUUUUUUAGUUCAAGAUUGGUCCUAUGAUGGUUUGUUUUUGAGAUUGUGCAGUGGUGGAGAAAUGGAUUGGAGAAAGCUUUGGAACAAUUCUCCUGAUGUCUUCACUCAAGAAAAUCUGGAAAGGUUAUUCAGACUGCCUCGAGUGCCAACGCACCAAGUAUAAACAGACAGAGUUAAGUUGGGCAUAGAUUUGCUUGCCGUGGCCUGAGAGGCUCUGAAAUUGAGUGAAGCAGGUGGGCGACGAAACAGCUAGACAGAGUGACAGCAUGGUGGCGAUGCUGGCCGGAUAGGCAAUCAUGAGGUGGCCGAAGGCGAGUUGGGCUUGGAUCGAGAGACAAAGAAUUAUGGCCCCACUUUGUUAUUGUAUCAACUAUUUAUGCUAUGUAAUUUGUAAAUGGUACGUAUAUGUUUAUUUAAAUUGCUAAAGGUAGUAUACAUCUUUAAAAAUGAGUAAAGAUUUGUUUAAUUUU